UGAGCGGAGAUAUAUGGAGCUUGCUUUAUAUAACUUAGCAGCGAACGGGUGAGUAACACGUAGAUAAUCUAUCCUAUACUGGGGGAUAGCCCGAUGAAAGUUGGAUUAAUACCGCAUAUAGCUAUAGUUGCAUGAUUAUGUAGUGAAAGAUUUAUUGGUAUAGGAGGAGUCUGCGGCACAUUAGCUAAUAGGUGAGGUAAAGGCUUACCUAGGCGACGAUGUGUAGCCGGUCUGAGAGGAUGAACGGCCACAAUGGAACUGAGACACGGUCCAUACUCCUACGGGAGGCAGCAGUGGGGAAUAUUGCACAAUGGGGGAAACCCUGAUGCAGCAACGCCGCGUGAGUGAAGAAGGUUUUCGGAUUGUAAAGCUCUGUUAGCAGGGAAGAGGAAGGACGGUACCUGCAGAGGAAGCCACGGCUAACUACGUGCCAGCAGCCGCGGUAAUACGUAGGUGGCAAGCGUUGUUCGGAAUAACUGGGCGUAAAGGAUGCGUAGGCGGUUAAACAAGUUAUAUGUUAAAUAUAUAGGCUUAACCUGUAGAAAACAUAUAAAACUGUUUAACUAGAGUGCAGGAGAGGUAAGUGGAAUUCCUAGUGUAGCGGUGAAAUGCGUAGAGAUUAGGAAGAACACCAGUGGCGAAGGCGACUUACUGGACUGUAACUGACGCUGAGGCAUGAGAGCAUGGGGAGCAAACAGGAUUAGAUACCCUGGUAGUCCAUGCUGUAAACGAUGGGUACUAGGUGUGGGUUGUGA
rnacentral:rRNA from 1 species